rnacentral:rRNA from 1 species
GAUGAACGCUGGCGGCGUGCCUAAUACAUGCAAGUCGAGCGAAUGGAUUAAGAGCUUGCUCUCCGGAUUAGUGGCGAACGGGUGAGUAACACGUGACUAACCUGCCCCUUUCUCUGGGAUAACGCUCCGAAAGGAGUGCUAAUACCGGAUACGAACUCUGAACACAUGUUCGGAGUUGGAAAGUUUUUCGGAAAGGGAUGGAGUCGCGGCCUAUCAGCUUGUUAGUGAGGUAACGGCUCACCAAGGCGACGACGGGUAGCCGGCCUGAGAGGGCGACCGGCCACACUGGGACUGAGACACGGCCCAGACUCCUACGGGAGGCAGCAGUGGGGAAUAUUGCACAAUGGGCGAAAGCCUGAUGCAGCGACACCGCGUGAGGGAUGAAGGUCUUCGGAUUGUAAACCUCUUUCAGUAGGGACGAAGCGAAAGUGACGGUACCUAAAGAAGAAGCACCGGCUAACUACGUGCCAGCCGCCGCAGUAA